AUCUUGGUCAAUGGGCGCAAGCCUGAACCAGCGACGCCGCGUGAGUGAUGAAGGCCUUCGGGUUGUAAAGCUCUGUGGGGAGGGACGAAAGCCUGGGUUCUAACAGGAUCUAGUUUGACGGUACCUCCUUAGCAAGCACCGGCUAACUCUGUGCCAGCAGCCGCGGUAAGACAGAGGGUGCAAACGUUGCUCGGAAUCACUGGGCGUAAAGGGCGUGUAGGCGGGAAGGUAAGUCGGGCGUGAAAUCCCUGGGCUCAACCCAGGAACUGCACUCGAAACUACUUUUCUUGAGUGCCGGAGAGGAAAGCGGAAUUCCUGGUGUAGAGGUGAAAUUCGUAGAUAUCAGGAGGAACACCAGUGGCGAAGGCGGCUUUCUGGACGGUAACUGACGCUGAGACGCGAAAGCGUGGGGAGCAAACA
rnacentral:rRNA from 1 species